rnacentral:rRNA from 1 species
AGAGUUUGAUCCUGGCUCAGAACGAACGUUGGCGGCAUGGAUUAGGCAUGCAAGUCGAGGGAACGUAGCAAUACGGAACCGGCGUAAGGGGCAGUAAGGCAUGGGUAUCUACCCAGGGGUUCGGGAUAGCCACCAGAGAUGGUGGGUAAUACCGGAUGAUGUCGUGAGACCAAAGAUUCAUCGCCCUUGGAGGAGCCCAUGUGAUAUUAGCUAGUUGGUGAGGUAAAGGCUCACCAAGGCGACGAUCUGUAGCGGGUCUGAGAGGAUGAUCCGCCACACUGGAACUGAGACACGGUCCAGACUCCUACGGGAGGCAGCAGUGGGGAAUUUUGGACAAUGGGGGCAACCCUGAUCCAGCCAUGCCGCGUGAGUGAAGAAGGCCUUCGGGUUGUAAAGCUCUUUCGGCCGGGAAGAAAUCGCAUGGGUUAAUACCCUGUGCGGAUGACGUACCGGCAUA